GAUGAACGCUAGCGGCAGGCCUAACACAUGCAAGUCGAGGGAGGAGCUUUCGGGCUUCGACCGGCGUACGGGUGCGUAACGCGUAUACAAUCUGCCUUUCACAUAGGGAUAGCCCGAAGAAAUUUGGAUUAAUACCUAAUGGUAUAUAGAGGUGGCAUCACCUUUAUAUUAAAGCUGAGGCGGUGAAAGAUGGGUAUGCGUUCUAUUAGCUAGUUGGAGAGGUAACGGCUCCCCAAGGCGACGAUAGAUAGGGGUUCUGAGAGGGAUAUCCCCCACACUGGUACUGAGAUACGGACCAGACUCCUACGGGAGGCAGCAGUGAGGAAUAGUGGACAAUGGUCGGAAGACUGAUCCAGCCAUGCCGCGUGCAGGAAGACGGCCUUAUGGGUUGUAAACUGCUUUUGCAGGGGAAGAAUAAGGACUACGCGUAGUUUGAUGACGGUACUCUGCGAAUAAGCAUCGGCUAACUCCGUG
rnacentral:rRNA from 1 species